AGGUACUUACCACGGAGUUGUGACCCAUAUCGUUUUGGGCACUUUGUGCUGGGCAAGUUCCAGGAUUCUAGGAGGAGAGUUAGACACCAUCUCCCCAGGACAGACCAGAGUCUGUGGGAACAGCUCAAUGAGAAGCUAUUAUUGAAGCGGUAUUGUACUACCAGUCGUUGCUAUGUCACCGGGAGUCCUUAGCAACUUAUCACAUGGCUGGGACUGAGGCUUGGACUCCUUAAGAGCCUGCAGGCUGAAACUGGAGUCUUAUUGUCUCAGAAAGGCUUCUCUAUCUUGUGUCUCAGGACGUACCAUACAGGAUGUUACAAGAAAACAGAUAUGAGGUCAGCAAACGACAGUUGCUGAAGUAUUCAUGGUGAGCUGGAACUGACAGUGACUAUUAUAAUAUGACGCACAGUAUGAAAAAGGUUACAUACAUAUAUAUUUUUUACAAGUUUUCAUUUUUAUUAUUUUAGUCACCCAGUUGAAAACAUACAAAGCGUUGUAUCCGAGUCUAAUUAGGAAUGGAACCCUGAGUCAUUUCAGAUGGAUGAUAUGUAUUUGGACAAUCAAAUAUGUCUUCUGCAAUUUCAAUGUGUUCAACUACCAUGGUCUUAUUAAUGUGUUUAUACAGUGAAAUCUUUGCACAAACUAGGAUGCACAGCAGCACUCAUUUUGUCAGGUGCACCAACCUUGAACAUUAAGAUGUAGUCAGUCCAUAAAAUACAUGGAAAAGGUACUUUGGCAUCUUCCUGAAAUGCGUUUGUAUUCAUAGAUAAAUAUCAAACUUUGGAGUUGGGAAAAAUAUUUUU